GUGGGUGAUGAAGUACUGGUGAAGGGCAAACUAACAGUCAAGAUCAAAGAACAAGAGAGUGAGAAACUGGUGCUAACCUGAGAUGACGAAGACUUCAAGUUUCCCCUCUGCCUGACUGGGAGAAGAGAUUUGAACAGGCUAUCUUUCAGCUUGUGCCUGGAGCCUCCUGACCUCACAACACAGAUCAGCUCUGGAACCGACCAGCUAACUCAGCAGGGUGAGGAGUGGACCUCAGCAACAGGAUAAAAGAUAUGGAAAUACCUGCUGGAACUCCACUGCAUCAGGUCUGGCUAACCACCAGUACUGAUUAAUAAAGAAGAAAAUGUUCUGUGAAUUGUGACAUCUGUAGCUCUUUCACUAUACUUAUGUGUUUUUCACAAUAGCUUUUAAAAAAACUCCAUAAAUCCUCCAUUCUUUUGUGUUGUUGGAAAUAAGUCAAAUGCCAGUUCAGCUUCAAAUACAUUUUAGUGGUGUAAAAGAACUCAAAUGAUCAGAGAAACCUUAAGUAUUUUUGUCUUUAGCUCCCUGUAUAAAGCAAUGUAGUGUUUUCACAGAAGUGUUUCCAUUCAUGUUUUAAUAAACAUGUCCAAGGCGCUCACUUGUCAUUGAACCCAUUUUACAUCUCUUUUCUUAUAGAGACAGUGGAGAAAAAUAAUGUGUUAUGCUCUAAAUGGUCAGUACAUGCACUUGGGCUGCCUCUGCUCAGUGCCAUUUAUAUUAAUAGGUACGAUUAUCCAUGCAGGCCUUUGUUUUCAAUGCACUGUUUAUAGUCCCCAUUUGUGCAUCUUUCUGGAGUUAAAGUGUUUAUAACGAUAUGGAGCAGCUGGCAACAAACUAUUGUUUCUCAUUAAAAAGACAUGUUUCCUGAGCUUUUGGGGAUUCUUUAUGCUAAAUAGUACAUACUGUUGACAUUUUGCCCUUUGUUUUCCUUUAGUUCUUUGCUACUGAAUAUCGAUGGUUCAGGGUUAAGCUACCAAGUUCUAAAACAAGAACUGGGAAGCCUGCCGAGACAUAAAACCAAGGGCAUAGCCACUUUGGGUCAUUAAAGAUCCCGGGGCACUCUUUGCAAGAGAAAAGGGGUGUUACUCCUUUUGCUCCUGACCAAUUCCAGCUAGAGUAGUUGCAUUCUGACCUCCUAACCUCUCUGUUUUUUCAGCUGGAUAAAUUAUUGUUCAUUUCUCCUCCUAAAAAGCUGUUGUGUUGCUGGCCCAGAAUGGCCACUGUGUUCUGCUCUAGAUGUGGCUGCAUUCCAGGGAUGGGUGAGGUAACCCCUAAACUAAUAUAUCGUGCAACACCUAGAUACUUCUGUGGGACAGUGUAAGCCAAUCAAUAAUGAUGUACAAGAGUUACUGUGGGAAGCUUGGCUUUAAUGUGUACUGGUCAGCAUUACUAGAACAUGCUGCAAUUUCGUCUGGUUUCUGAGGAAGAUUGAAGCACCUGAGUAAUGAACUUGGACAAUGUUGCAGGGAGGAGAUUGGAAUAUUUUUCCAACCAUGGCUUGUGUCAUGCUGCCUGGAGUGGCUCAUGACUGAGUGAUUUCCUCAGGGAAGACACCCCAAACUCGUGAUUUGGGACACAGCGUGAUCCAUGGUUAGAGCAGUAGACUAAGACUGAAGAGAGCUAGAGUCUCUUCCUGGUUCUGCUACUGACAUGUGACCUUGGGCAAGUCAUUUCACCUUCUUGUGCUUCUGUUUCCCCUUUGUCUACUUAGAUCAUAUUCUCAUUGAGGCAGGAUUGUGUUUGUACAGUACCUAGCACAAUGGGACCCCACUCUUGGGUGGGAUCUUCAGGGAUUGUAAUAAUAAUAAUUUGCUCUGGAGUAACUGAGAGCAGAAUGUCAAGUAUCAGAGGGGUAGCCGUGUUAGUAAUUACACACUGUA